UAUGGAGGGUGCAAGCGUUAAUCGGAAUUACUGGGCGUAAAGCGUGCGCAGGCGGUUUGUUAAGUCUGCUGUGAAAUCCCCGAGCUCAACUUGGGAAUUGCAGUGGAUACUGGCAGGCUGGAGUAUGGUAGAGGAAGGUGGAAUUCCCGGUGUAGCAGUGAAAUGCGUAGAGAUCGGGAGGAACACCAGUGGCGAAGGCGACUUCCUGGCCUGUUCUUGACGCUGAGGCGCGAAAGCUAGGGUAGCAAACGGG
rnacentral:rRNA from 1 species